UCAUGACCUCAUUGAAGAAAAUGAAAAACACGGUGCUGGUGACUUUCAUGUGUCUUGGGAGCUUGAGAUGGUCAGUGUCAUUAAAGCACUCUCCAGUACUCAAGCUUCCCUUACAUGCCAAUUGUACUCGUACAUCUGCAUUAAUUCAUCUAUGCAAGCUUGUGUUUUCUUGGUUUGUUUUUUCCACCUUCUGUCCCAUUUGGUUCUUUAAACAUCAGGUUUAACAUUGAUAAUAUGCAUAAUUUUUAAACCAAAGUAUUGUAUAAGUCUGUGUGCUUUUGUUGUUCUGGAUGAUUUGACCGAGGUGAAAACCAAUCUUGUCCUUCUCUCUUAAUAAAGUCAUCCAUUUGUUAA